rnacentral:tRNA from 1 species
ACCUGGCUGGCUCAGUCAGUGGAGCUUGAGACUCUUGAUCUCAGGGUUGUGAGUUCAAGCCCCACCAUAAGUA